AUUGAACGCUGGCGGCAUGCCUUACACAUGCAAGUCGAACGGCAGCACGGGGGCAACCCUGGUGGCGAGUGGCGAACGGGUGAGUAAUGCAUCGGAACGUGUCCUCUUGUGGGAGAUAACCAGUCGAAAGAUUGGCUAAUACCGCAUGAGAUCGAGAGAUGAAAGCGGGGGACCCGAGGGUAACUUCGGGCCUCGCGCGAGAGGAGCGGCCGAUGCCGGAUAGCUAGUUGGUGGGGUAAGAGCCUACCAAGGCGACGAUCCGUAGCUGGUCUGAGAGGACGACCAGCCACACUGGGACUGAGACACGGCCCAGACUCCUACGGGAGGCAGCAGUGGGGAAUUUUGGACAAUGGGCGCAAGCCUGAUCCAGCCAUGCCGCGUGUGUGAAGAAGGCCUCGGUUGUAAGUAC
rnacentral:rRNA from 1 species